AUACGUAGGGUGCAAGCGUUAAUCGGAAUUACUGGGCGUAAAGCGUGCGCAGGCGGUUUUGUAAGACAGUGGUGAAAUCCCCGGGCUCAACCUGGGGACUGCCAUUGUGACUGCAAGGCUGGAGUGCGGCAGAGGGGGAUGGAAUUCCGCGUGUAGCAGGUGAAUGCGUAGAUAUGCGGAGGAACACCGAUGGCGAAGGCAAUCCCCUGGGCCUGCACUGACGCUCAUGCACGAAAGCGUGGGGAGCAAACAGGAUUAGAUACCCUGGUAGUCCACGCCCUAAACGAUGUCAACUGGUUGUUGGGGAUUUAUUUUCUCAGUAACGAAGCUAACGCGUGAAGUUGACCGCCUGGGGAGUACGGCCGCAAGGUUAAAACUCAAAGGAAUUGACGGGG
rnacentral:rRNA from 1 species